GCACAGCUAUGCCAUCAAGAGGUAGGCAUAGAACCAAGUUCGUGGUGGGCAGAGCCCUAAACCAUUCAGUAUCAACAGGAAAGAAAUGAGGGUGCUGAAGACCAGAGAGCACAGAGCACAGGGAAUGCUCAAUGGGUACAGAGUACGUUUCCAGUGAUGAAAACCUUCUGAAAAUAGAUACAAUUUUGUGAGUAUACUUAAUGCCACUAAAGUGCACUUUAAAAAAUGGCUGCUGUAGAAAGAAAAAAAGAAAUGUUUUUAAUGGUUAAGGGAGUUCCCACUGUGGCAAAAUGGGAGUCAGUGCCUCUGCAGUACCAGGACACAGGUUCAAUUCCCUGCCCAGGGCGGUAAGUUAAAGGAUCCCACGGCUUCAGCACAUAUUGCAACAGCAGGUCGGAUCUGAUCCCUGGCCUGGGAACUCCAUAUUCCUUGGGUGGCCAAGAAAGAGGAAAAAAGGUAAGGAGUUCCCCUUGUGGCUCAGUGGGUUAAGGACCAGACAUUGUCUCUGUGUGGAUAUGGCUUAGAUCCCUAGCCUCGCUCAGUGGGUUAAGGAUCUGCAUGGGUCACAGGUGCAGCGUGGAUCCACUGUUGCUGUGGCUCCUGGUAUAAGCUGCAGCUGCAGCUCUGAUUUGUCCCCUGGCCUGGGAAUGCCACAGGUGCGGCCAUAAAAAUAAAAAUUAAAUAAAUAAAUAAAUAAAUAAAUAAAAAACCCUUAACUGUGGCGAAGGAGUUCCUGUUGUGGAUCAGCAGGUUAAUAACCCAACUAGAAUUCAACCAGUGUGGGGACACAGGUUAGUUAGAUCCCUGGCCUCACUCAGUGGGUUAAGCAAACUGGCCCAGGAACUCCACAUGCAGAGGGCAGCCAAAAAAAAGAAAAAGAAAAGAAAACAAGUGAUGCCAAGGAGACACAUGUGAUGUGCUGGGGCAGUACCAAGUGGCUCACUUCAGGAAGGAUGAGGGCUCAAGCAACUGGGAUUGGAACACUAAAGGAUGGGCCAGCUCCACAGGGAUGGAAGACUUAGAACCACCCAGAAAGCAGAGAUCUGGGUCAUAUAGGUAAGCCUCAUGAACUCUGUAGCCUGCAGGCUAUCUCCUAGGUUAAGCUAAACUGACUCCAGUGGGUCCAUUGCGAUGCAGUUCCUGCCUUGUUGAAAUAAGAGAUUCAUCUUCAGGAAGUGAUUUUUCCUUUUCUGUGCUUUCUGGGGUCUGCCAAAUUAAAAGGAUUGGGUUAUGGGGGGAGAGAGCUAUGGAUGACAGGCAAAGGAGGACCAAGUAGUGCAUAAUUGGAAUCCCUGAUGGGAACAAAAACAAUGAACUACAUUGGCUGUUUAAAAAUAUGAUUCAGGAGUUCUUGUCGUGAUGCAACGGAAACGAAUCCGACUAGGAACUAUGAGGUUGCAGGUUCGUUCCCUGGCCUUGCUCAGUGGAUUAAGGAUCUGGCGAUGCAGGAGUUCCCGUCGUGGCGCAGUGGUUAACGAAUCCGACUAGGAACCAUGAGGUCGCGGUUUCGGUCCCUGCCCUUGCUCAGUGGGUUAACGAUCCGGCGUUGCCGUGAGCUGUGGCGUAGGUUGCAGACGCGGCUCGGAUCCCACGUUGCUGUGGCUCUGGCGUAAGCUGGUGGCUACAGCUCCGAUUCAACCCCUAGCCUGGGAACCUCCAUAUGCCAAGGUGCAGCCCUGAAAAGCAAAAAAAUAUAUAUAUAUAUAUUUCAGGAAAAUAUAUAUAUAUUUCAGGAAAAUGUUUCUGAAAUACAAAAAGGAUUUCAAUCUAUGUUUGGAAAAAAAAUACCAUGUUUAUACUAAAAGAUAUAUUCUAGUAAUAUUAUUAGAAAAUAAAGAAUCUUCGGGGCACCCAGGCAAAAAAGAGCAAGUAUACAGCUCCAGAAAAUGUUUCUGAACAUACAAGAACUCAGGGACAUUGUUCUUAAAAAGUUUUACAGAGUUCCCUGGUGGCCCAGUGGUUAAGGAUCCAGCAUUGUCACUGCUGUGGCAUGGGUUCGAGCCCAGGAAUUUCUGCAUGCCUUGGGAAUGGCCAAAAAAAAAGAAAAGGAAGUUUUACAGAAAUAGGAAAUCAAAAAGAAAAAAAAAAAGAAACUGCAUAUUUUCUAGAAAAUAUCAAUAGUGAAAACACUACAUAUCAGAACCUAUAGGAUAUAGCCAAAGCAAUAGUCAGAGGAAAAUUCAUCAUUUAAACACUAAUGCCAAUUUUUUUAAAAAGAUUAAAAACAGAAGAAUAAGCACCCUUGAAGAGUUAUAUAGAUAAACCAAAUAAAAACAGAAGGAAUGACUUAAUGAAAAUAAAAGCAGAAAUUAAUGAGUUAAUGCUGGUUUGUUUGUUUUUUUCUUAGAUGCUGGUUCUUAAAUACUCAUUAUAUAGUUCUAAGCACCUUUUUGUAAAUGUGAGCUAUUUCACAGUAGCUUUUUGGUUUGCUAAAUGAACUAUAAUAUAGCUAUGCAAUGGAUAAGAAUAAAAAAAAAAUGGAAUGCUAUGUACUGCUAUAAAAAGAUCUCCAGGAUACACUGCUAAGUAAAACAAACAAGUCCAGAACUCUAUAUAUAGUAGGCAGCCUAUUAUGUAAGAAAACAAUGUGAGCAGAAGGUAAAAUAAAAAUACAUGUUCAUACUUGCUUGUAUUUGUAUAAAGAUAGAAAGAUGUAGGAAACCAGAAAGCUAUUAUCCAUCAGGGCAUGGGGAGGGGGGAACAGGGUG
rnacentral:lncRNA from 1 species